GGGUGCGUAACAUGUAAGCGACCUACCCUGGAGCGGGGGAUAGCCGGCCCAACGGCCGGGUAAUACCGCAUACGACAGUUUGGGGGCAUCCCUGGACUGUGAAACCUACGGGACUCUUGGCGGGGCUUGCGGCCUAUCAGCUAGUUGGUGCGGUCACGGCGCACCAAGGCGAUGACGGGUAGCUGGUCUGAGAGGAUGGCCAGCCACAUUGGGACUGAGAGACGGCCCAGACUCCUACGGGAGGCAGCAGUGGGGAAUCUUGCGCAAUGGCCGAAAGGCUGACGCAGCGACGCCGCGUGGAGGAUGACGCCCUUCGGGGUGUAAACUCCUGUUGCCCGGGACGAAUGCCCCUUUCGAGGGGAGUGACGGUACCGGGUGAGGAAGCACCGGCUAACUCUGUGCCAGCAGCCGCGGUAAUACAGAGGGUGCGAGCGUUGUCCGGAAUCACUGGGCGUAAAGGGCGCGUAGGUGGCUUGGUAAGCGUGUGGUGAAAGCCCGGGGCUCAACCCCGGGUCGGCCAUGCGAACUGCCCGGCUGGAGCACGGUAGAGGCCAAUGGAAUUCCGGGUGUAGCGGUGGAAUGCGUAGAGAUCCGGAAGAACACCGGUGGCGAAGGCGGUUGGCUGGGCCGUUGCUGACACUGAGGCGCGACAGCGUGGGGAGCAAACAGGAUUAGAUACCCUGGUAGUCCACGCCGUAAACGAUGGGCACUAGGUCCUUGGGGGAGCGACCCCGUGAGGGCCGGCGCUAACGCAUUAAGUGCCCCGCCUGGGGAGUACGGCCGCAAGGCUGAAACUCAAAGGAAUUGACGGGGGCCCGCACAAGCGGUGGAGCAUGUGGUUUAAUUCGACGCAACGCGAAGAACCUUACCUAGGCUUGACAUGGCCGGGAAAGCUGGGGGAAACCUCGGCCCCUCUUCGGAGUCCGGUCACAGGAGCUGCAUGGCUGUCGUCAGCUCGUGUCGUGAGAUGUUGGGUUAAGUCCCGCAACGAGCGCAACCCUUGUCACUAGUUACCAGCGGGUAAAGCCGGGCACUCUAGUGAGACUGCCGGUGCCAAACCGGAGGAAGGUGGGGACGACGUCAAGUCAUCAUGGUCCUUACGUCUAGGGCUACACACGUGCUACAAUGGGCGGGACAGCGGGUCGCGAAGCCGCAAGGUGGAGCCAUCCCAGAAACCCGUCCUCAGUUCGGAUUGUCGUCUGCAACUCGACGGCAUGAAGCUGGAAUCGCUAGUAAUCGUGGAUCAGCACCGCCACGGUGAAUACGUUCCCGGGCCUUGUACACACCGCCCGUCACGCCAUGGAAGCUGUGAGUGCCCGAAGUCCGUGUCGGAACCUGUGCAAACAGGACCAAGCGGCCGAAGGCAAGCGCAGUGACUGGGGCGAAGUCGGAACAAGGUA
rnacentral:rRNA from 1 species